rnacentral:ncRNA from 1 species
AGAAAAACUGUGAAGAGAAAAGUAGUUCCUGAGGAUUUCAUAGAGAGCCCCGAAGUGCUGGAAGGGGUAGAUCCGAUCGAAUGAACAUGGUCUUGGAGUUGCAUACCGAGGGGAAACCUUAGGCUAUGACGGAAGCGCCCGUUAACGCGAUAGAGUAUAAACCGGAGUCCGGUCGUACUUGAUGAGGUUGUUUCUUAGAGGAAACAACAAACAAAGGUGGUAACACGGGUAAGCCCUCGUCCUUAGG